GGAAAGUAAAUUUUCCUAGCUCCGCAGGAAGUUCACCUGUCAACCUGUUACUACUCAGAUUUAAACACCUCAGUGUUUCUCUUGAUGCAGUCGCAAUCGCUGAAUGAAUUUCCCCACCAAGUGCAUUUCCACCAAGCUGCAGCUUGGACAGCUUCUUGAGUGCAAACAAGGAGGUGGGAAUACCUCCUGAAAGAUUAUUCUCACACAGACUCAAAAUGGAUAGCUCCUCCAAGCUUCCAAACGCG
rnacentral:misc_RNA from 1 species